GCAACCGUUUUCUAUUCAAGAUUUUUUUAAACAGCUGUAUAAAAUGUAAAAUGCAUUUUCGGAGUCGUGAUUUGAGGUGUAACAAGCUAAGAUGACGGGUAAGUUUUUAACUUAAGACGCAAAUCUUUUUUUUCUCUUUCUGGUUUAACAUCUUUAUUUUCAGACGCUAUUGUCAUAUCGGACGGGGAGUGGGAAGAAAUUCCUAUUGAGGAAUUAACUUGUAAAACUCCGGUACCUUUUCCCCUCGAUGAUUUGUCUAAAAUUAAUCGUGCGGUCGACAAUCUGAGUGAGUGGAUUUUAUAAAUAUAUACGUAACGUUCUUUUCUUCAGCUGAGAAAUAUCUCAUUUUACAGAAAAGGAGGGGGUUCAACCUUACCCCGGAAGUGAUAACUUUUACCCAACCACGCCUCCAUCCACCAGCCGAACCGUCUUACAUUCGUAUCAGCCCAGCCAGACCGUCAGAUCACACGCGAACGCGAAAGCUGUUCGUUACAGGACCAUCACGCCACAGACGAUCCUCGAAGCUGAGCAACGGCCGACGGCCUACGCACCCCCAAUAUCUCAGCCCCCACCACCUCCAACCCCUUCUCAUGCGCAGACGAAUGAACAACAUCCGACAGCCGCUUCAAUAUCUCCGCCCACACCACCUCCUCCUCCUCCUCCUCCCCCUUCUCCUGCACAGGAACAAUCCGACAGCGACUCUGAAACCGCUGAACGUGCUCCUGAGCAGCCAGCCGAACAACCCACGACGGACGAAGAGAACGCCCCACCUCCUGCACCUGUACAGA